UUUAAAAACGUCUGCUAAAACGAAGCAAAAUAUCGAACCGCUUUUACAAAAAACUUUUUUAUCUACUAUUUUGAAGCUCUCUUUGAUGCAUAUCUGAAACAAACAUCGCUGAGUAAUUUAUCGUAUUGUCAGUUAUUUUGAAACCGUUAGGGGCUUGAGCAUUUGUUCAACGUUGAAAAAAUAAAAACAGCAUAGUGGAUACUUUGUUAUUACUUUAAUUAUUGGUCUAAAGACGUUUUCAAAAGUUGGAGAAUGGACGAUAACCAUGGAGACAAGAAGAGUCGAAGACAAAGUAAAGCAAAAAGAAACAUAAAGGUGAACAAUCCGAAGUCCAAGUUAAAAAAAUGGAACCGUGAAAGAGGACCCAGGGUAUUAUUGCGACUACUGUGAUAUUCAUUUAACCAGUAAUGCGAUGAAUGUGCGUAAAACUCACAUUGAUGGGAAACACCACAAAGAAAAUGUUAAACAUCAUUACGAGGCUGUGAUGCAAGAAAACGCCCAAAAAAUCAUCAAUAGAACAAUUCAAGACGCUGAGGCAACGCAUAUGGCGCCCAACAUUUUAUCACACGAUGUUAUGUUCUAUCCACUGAUGAACGUAAACAAUCCCUUCCUGAUAUCAACACGGAACUUCGCACCAUUCAUCAAUUUUCCGCCGCCAUGUUGUAAGCCACUUGUCUAUUUUACAGACUACUGACUAGUACUGUUUAUUUGUUUUAUUUUUAAUGAUACAACACAGCUACUGUUUGCCUUAUGUUGCAUUGACAACCUCCUUCCCGUGCUUUUUCUACGCUGAGAGAAAAUCCUGCCAUGACGAUUUCGUAUCCCAUCCAAAUCCUCGGGUAGGACGGCAUUCUUUAUCUAGUUUUUUUAACUAUUUCUCUUGUGAAGAGACGUUCUGCUUUUUUAUAGAUAUUUUGUUUUCUGUAUUUUUUACUCUUUUUAUUAUUUUUCAGCAAUUGUUUUAUUAUAUUCAGAUAUACCUUCCAACCCAAGCAAUGCCUUCGCCAACAUGCAUGCGUACUAUAACGCGUGAUUUCGCAUUUUUGGACGAAUGGAAUGACGUGUUGGUGCCGGAAUGACGUGUUGGCGCCAAAAACACAAACAUCUUAUUAUUGUACAAAAUAUUAGAAAAAUGUUAAAUACGAAACGGUAAAUAUCGAUUGGA